rnacentral:misc_RNA from 1 species
GAUGAAAGAACGUAGCGAAAUGCGAUAAGUAGUGUGAAUUGCAGAAUUCAGUGAAUCAUCGAAUCUUUGAACGCACAUUGCGCCCCUUGGUAUCCCGAGGGGCAUGCCUGUUCGAGCGUCAUUUCACCACUCAAGCCUGGCUUGGUGUUGGGCGACGUCCCCUUUGGGGACGCGCCUCGAAACGCUCGGCGGCGUGGCACCGGCUUUAAGCGUAGCAGAAUCUUUCGCUUUGGAAGUCGGGGCCCCGUCUGCCGGAAGACCUACUCGCAAGGUUGACCUCGGAUCAGGCAGGGAUACCCGCUGAACUUAAGCAUAUCAAUAAGCGGAGGA